UAACUGAAGAGUUUGAUCAUGGCUCAGAUUGAACGCUGGCGGCAGGCUUAACACAUGCAAGUCGAGCGGGGGAGAUUACUUCGGUAAUUGACCUAGCGGCGGACGGGUGAGUAAUACUUAGGAAUCUGCCUAUUAAUGGGGGACAACAUCUCGAAAGGGAUGCUAAUACCGCAUACGCCCUACGGGGGAAAGCAGGGGAUCACUUGUGACCUUGC
rnacentral:rRNA from 1 species